rnacentral:lncRNA from 1 species
UAUGAAGCUAUGUACUACGUGACCAACAUGAAAACCGGAGCUACGGCAUGCUCUCCCCUUCGCUGCUGGAACCGCCAUAGUCCUGUCUGCUGUGGGCGUUUGGAGCGAGCAUAUCCCAGGUCGAGCUGACUUCAGUUUAAGGCCACCAUAUUAUGAACCACACGACUAAGUUUCUGCUAAGCCACAUACUUAAAGUUCCUAAAUGAAAGGACACUGGGGACCCCCAAGUGACUUCUCAUACACAGUUUCCUUCACCCAUUUUACUGCCUCUGGAGAGUGAGUAGCCUUUGUCACCUGGGCAACCCUACUCUCCUGUCCAUGCAUGGCAGCUCUGCUCCCUGGCGUCUGGUUUUGCCCACAUCACCAUCACCAACGGGCAGCCCUGUCUCAAGCGCUUGUCGCAUGCAAUCUGUGAGACCACUGCUGAGGAUUGACAAAACAA